rnacentral:rRNA from 1 species
GAGCGGGCAUAGCAAUAUGUCAGCGGCAGACGGGUGAGUAACGCGUGGGAACGUACCUUUUGGUUCGGAACAACACAGGGAAACUUGUGCUAAUACCGGAUAAGCCCUUACGGGGAAAGAUUUAUCGCCGAAAGAUCGGCCCGCGUCUGAUUAGCUAGUUGGUAGGGUAAUGGCCUACCAAGGCGACGAUCAGUAGCUGGUCUGAGAGGAUGAUCAGCCACAUUGGGACUGAGACACGGCCCAAACUCCUACGGGAGGCAGCAGUGGGGAAUAUUGGACAAUGGGCGCAAGCCUGAUCCAGCCAUGCCGCGUGAGUGAUGAAGGCCCUAGGGUUGUAAAGCUCUUUUGUGCGGGAAGAUAAUGACGGUACCGCAAGAAUAAGCCCCGGCUAACUUCGUG